AUUGAACGCUGGCGGCAGGCUUAACACAUGCAAGUCGAGCGGAGUGAUGGUGCUUGCACUAUCACUUAGCGGCGGACGGGUGAGUAAUGCUUAGGAAUCUGCCUAUUAGUGGGGGACAACAUCUCGAAAGGGAUGCUAAUACCGCAUACGUCCUACGGGAGAAAGCAGGGGAUCACUUGUGACCUUGCGCUAAUAGAUGAGCAUAAGUCGGAUUAGCUAGUUGGUGGGGUAAAGGCCGACCAAGGCGACGAUCUGUAGCGGGGCUGAGAGGAUGAUCCGACACACUGGGACUGAGACACGGCCCAGACUCCUACGGGAGGAAGCAGUGGGGAAUAUUGGACAAUGGGGGGAACCCUUAUCCAGCCAUGCCGCGUGUGUGAAGAAGGCCUUAUGGUUGUAAAGCACUUUAAGCGAGGAGGAGGCUCUUUUGGUUAAUACCCGAGAUGAGUGGACGUUACUCGCAGAAUAAGCACCGGCUAACUCUGUGCCAGCCGCCGCGGUAA
rnacentral:rRNA from 1 species